GACGAACGCUGGCGGCGUGCUUAACACAUGCAAGUCGAACGGAAAGGCCCUGCUUUUGUGGGGUGCUCGAGUGGCGAACGGGUGAGUAACACGUGAGUAACCUGCCCUUGACUUUGGGAUAACUUCAGGAAACUGGGGCUAAUACCGGAUAGGAGCUCCUGCUGCAUGGUGGGGGUUGGAAAGUUUCGGCGGUUGGGGAUGGACUCGCGGCUUAUCAGCUUGUUGGUGGGGUAGUGGCUUACCAAGGCUUUGACGGGUAGCCGGCCUGAGAGGGUGACCGGCCACAUUGGGACUGAGAUACGGCCCAGACUCCUACGGGAGGCAGCAGUGGGGAAUAUUGCACAAUGGGCGGAAGCCUGAUGAAGCAACGCCGCGUGCGGGAUGACGGCCUUAGGGUUGUAAACCGCUUUCGCCUGUGACGAAGCGUGAGUGACGGUAAUGGGUAAAGAAGCAACGGCUAACUACGUG
rnacentral:rRNA from 1 species